UACGUAGGGGGCAAGCGUUGUCCGGAUUUAUUGGGCGUAAAGAGCGUGUAGGCGGCCAGACAGGUCCGUUGUGAAAACUCGAGGCUUAACCUCGAGAUGUCGAUGGAAACCGUCUGGCUAGAGUCCGGAAGAGGAGUGUGGAAUUCCUGGUGUAGCGGUGAAAUGCGCAGAUAUCAGGAAGAACACCUAUGGCGAAGGCGGCUCUCUGGGACGGUACUGACGCUGAGACGCGAAAGCGUGGGGAGCGAACAGG
rnacentral:rRNA from 1 species